AGCUGAGACUCCAGCUCCGUUUACCCCCAAUGUGGAGCAACCACAGCUUGCGGCCCCCCAGCUGCUGACUCCUCAGGGUGGCCCCCAGAUUGUUCCUUCAGUGCAUCAGUACACCUGGUCUCCAAUAGGAGGCAGUCCAGUGAUCAUCCCCCUACAGCCAAACAUCUAUGGAUUUCUGCCUGCUAACCAGCCAGCCGUCCCACAGCAGCCUCUGAUUGCCACUCCUUAUGGAUACGUCCCUGUAUAUUCAUCACCACAUAGCAAUCAACCGUUCUCCCCAUUUGGAUACCCAGCAAUUCCUAAUACAUCUCUGCCACCAACUCCAGCAAAUCAACCUCCAUACAAUCCUGUGUCACCUGCAGGAACACCCCCGGGGGUUGCUCCUUCAGGAGAGGCACCUCAGACAGUGC